rnacentral:rRNA from 2 species
AAUAUUGGUCAAUGGCCUAACGGCUGAACUGGCAACUUCGGAGNACGGAGAAGAUUACUGAUAUAAAAGUAUGUUCUUACUCUAAAUCGGUUUGUCGAAUAAAGUUCUAACUGCAUAUUGAUUAUGACGAUAUGCAUAUUUAUGCCUUGACUAAUUACGUGCCAGCAGUCGCGGUAAUACGUAAGAGGCUAGUGUUAUUCAUCUUAAAUAGGUUUAAAGGGUACGUAGACGGUAGUAAAUGUCCUAACAGGAUACAUCUCUACUAGAGUUUUAUAUGAGGAGAGUCGUACUUAUGGUGUAGAGAUGAAAUUUGUUGAUACUGUAGGGACUGGUAAAGGCGAAGGCAACCUCUUAUGUAAAAACUGACGUUCAGGGACGAAGGCACAGAGAACGAACAGGAUUAGGUACCCCAGUAGUCUUUGCAGAGAAUGAUGAAUGCCAUAAAUUAGGUAAUAUUACUUGGUUUAUAAAUGAAAGUGUAAGCAUUUCACCUCAAGAGUAGUGUGGCAACGCAGGAACUGAAAUCACUAGACCGUUUCUGACCCCAGCAGUGAAGUAUGUUAUUUAAUUCGGUGAUCCACGAAAAACCUUACCACAAUUUGAAUGUUAUUAAAGUUAGUAGUUUAAUCUUCUAAUUUUAACAAUACAAGUGUUGCACGGCUGUUUUCAGUUAAUGUUAUGAAACUGCGGUUCCGACCGUGAAAUUAACGAAUACCCCGGCUUUAUUUACAAUAAUUUAAUAGAGCAUUUUCUGCCCCUCUACAAUGGUAAGAACAAAAGGGAAUAAGACAAGUCAUCAUGGCCUGAAUAUUGUGGGCUAUA